UACGUGAGGUGCAAGCGUUAAUCGGAAUUACUGGGCGUAAAGCGUGCGCAGGCGGUUAUGUAAGACAGAUGUGAAAGCCCCGGGCUUAACUUGGGAAUUGCGCUCGAAACUACGUGGCUGGAGUGUGGCAGAGGAAGGUGGAAUUCCAGGUGUAGCGGUGAAAUGCGUAGAGAUCUGGAGGAACACCGAUGGCGAAGGCAGCCUUCUGGGCCAACAC
rnacentral:rRNA from 1 species